AACGAACGCUGGCGGCAGGCUUAACACAUGCAAGUCGAACGAUGUAGCAAUACAUAGUGGCGCACGGGUGAGUAACGCGUGGGAAUAUACCUUAUAGUGGGGGAAUAACUUUGGGAAACUAAAGCUAAUACCGCAUACGCCCGAGAGGGGAAAGAUUUAUCGCCAUAAGAUUAGCCCGCGUGAGAUUAGGUAGUUGGUGGGGUAAUGGCCUACCAAGCCUACGAUCUCUAGCUGGUCUGAGAGGAUGAUCAGCCACACUGGAACUGAGACACGGUCCAGACUCCUACGGGAGGCAGCAGUGGGGAAUAUUGGGCGAAUAGGAGGGAAAACGUACUGACCCAGCAUGCCGCCGUGAAUGAUGAAGGCCUUAGGUUGUAAGUUACUUUC
rnacentral:rRNA from 1 species